AUUUGAAAUCUGGCCUCGGCCCGAGUUGUAAUUUGUAGAGGAAGCUUUUGGCGCGGCACCAACUGAGUCCCCUGGAACGGGGCGCCAUAGAGGGUGAGAGCCCCGUAUAGUUGGACGCUAAGCCUCUGUAAAGCUCCUUCGACGAGUCGAGUAGUUUGGGAAUGCUGCUCAAAAUGGGAGGUAAAUUUCUUCUAAAGCUAAAUACCGGCCAGAGACCGAUAGCGCACAAGUAGAGUGAUCGAAAGAUGAAAAGCACUUUGAAAAGAGGGUUAAAUAGCACGUGAAAUUGUUGAAAGGGAAGCGCUUGUGACCAGACUUGCGCCGGGCUGAUCAUCCGGAGUUCUCUCCGGUGCACUCGGCCCGGCUCAGGCCAGCAUCGGUUCUCGUGGGGGGAUAAAGGUCCCGGGAACGUGGCUCCCUCCGGGGAGUGUUAUAGCCCGGGGCGCAAUGCCCUCGCGGGGACCGAGGUUCGCGCAUCUGCAAGGAUGCUGGCG
rnacentral:rRNA from 1 species